UACGUAGGGUGCAAGCGUUGUCCGGAAUUACUGGGCGUAAAGCGUGCGUAGGCGGUGGUCCAAGUCUGGUGUGAAAUCUCCCGGCUCAACUGGGAGGGUGCGCCGGAAACUGGGCCGCUGGAGUACGGGAGAGGCAAGCGGAAUUCCAGGUGUAGCGGUGAAAUGCGUAGAUAUCUGGAGGAACACCCGUGGUGCAGACGGCUUGCUGGACCGUGACUGACGCUGAGGCACGAAAGCGUGGGUAGCAAACAGG
rnacentral:rRNA from 1 species